CCUACGGGAGGCAGCAGUGAGGAAUAUUGGUCAAUGGACGAGAGUCUGAACCAGCCAAGUAGCGUGAAGGAUGACUGCCCUAUCGGUUGUAAACUUCUUUUAUAUGGGAAUAAAAUGUUCCACGUGUGGGAUUUUGUAUGUACCAUAUGAAUAAGGAUCGGCUAACUCCGUGCCAGCAGCCGCGGUAAUACGGAGGAUCCGAGCGUUAUCCGGAUUUAUUGGGUUUAAAGGGAGCGUAGGUGGAUUGUUAAGUCAGUUGUGAAAGUUUGCGGCUCAACCGUAAAAUUGCAGUUGAAACUGGCAGUCUUGAGUACAGUAGAGGUGGGCGGAAUUCGUGGUGUAGCGGUGAAAUGCUUAGAUAUCACGAAGAACUCCGAUUGCGAAGGCAGUUCACUGGACUGCAACUGACACUGAGGCUCGAAAGUGUGGGUAUCAAACAGGAUUAGAUACCCCAGUAGUC
rnacentral:rRNA from 1 species